GACGAACGCUGGCGGCGUGCCUAAUACAUGCAAGUCGAACGCAGUUGCGAACGGGUGAGUAACGCGUAGGUAACCUGCCUCAUCGCGGGGGUUAACUAUUGGAAACGCUAGCUAAUACCGCCUACUGUGAGGUUGACCUGCGUUGUAUUAGCGAGUUGGUGAGGUAACGGCUCACCAAGGCGACGAUACAUAGCCGGCCUGAGAGGGUGAUCGGCCACACGGUGACUGAGACACGGCCCAGACUCCUACGGGAGGCAGCAGUAGGGAAUAGUGGGCAAUGGACGAAAGUCUGACCGAGCAACGCCGCGUGAGUGAAGAAGGGUUUCGGAUCGUAAAACUCUGUUGUUAGAGAAGCGGUAUCUAACCAGAAAGCAACGGCUAACUACGUGCCAGCAGCCGCGGUAAUAC
rnacentral:rRNA from 1 species